ensembl:ncRNA R52.12 ncRNA
UGGAAUUUUUGGAAUUUUUGGAUGUUUUGGAAUUUUUGGAAUUUUUGGAAUUUUUGGAAUUUCGGAAUUUAGAAUUUUUGGAUGUUUUAGAAUUUUUGGAAUUUUGGACUUUUUGGAAUUUUUGGAAUUUCGGAAUUUAGAAUUUU